UACGUAGGGGGCAAGCGUUGUCCGGAAUUAUUGGGCGUAAAGAGCGCGUAGGCGGUCCGGUAAGUCAGCUGUGAAAGUCAAGGGCUCAACCCUUGAAAGCCGGUUGAUACUGUCGGGCUAGAGUCCGGAAGAGGCGAGUGGAAUUCCCGGUGUAGCGGGAAAUGCGCAGAUAUCGGGAGGAACACCAAUGGCGAAGGCAGCUCGCUGGGACGGUACUGACGCUGAGGCGCGAAAGCGUGGGGAGCAAACAGG
rnacentral:rRNA from 1 species